UAGGGAAUCUUCGGCAAUGGGGGCAACCCUGACCGAGCAACGCCGCGUGAGUGAAGAAGGUUUUCGGAUCGUAAAGCUCUGUUGUAAGAGAAGAACGAGUGUGGGAGUGGAAAGUUCACACUGUGACGGUAACUUACCAGAAAGGGACGGCUAACUACGUGCCAGCAGCCGCGGUAAUACGUAGGUCCCGAGCGUUAUCCGGAUUUAUUGGGCGUAAAGCGAGCGCAGGCGGUUAGAUAAGUCUGAAGUUAAAGGCUGUGGCUUAACCAUAGUACGCUUUGGAAACUGUUUAACUUGAGUGCAGAAGGGGAGAGUGGAAUUCCAUGUGUAGCGGUGAAAUGCGUAGAUAUAUGGAGGAACACCGGUGGCGAAAGCGGCUCUCUGGUCUGUAACUGACGCUGAGGCUCGAAAGCGCGGGGAGCAAACAGGAUUAGAUACCCUGGUAGUCCACGCCGUAAACGAUGAGUGCUAGGUGUUGGGUCCUUUCCGGGACUCAGUGCCGCAGCUAACGCAUUAAGCACUCCGCCUGGGGAGUACGACCGCAAGGUU
rnacentral:rRNA from 1 species